UACGGAGGGUGCAAGCGUUAUCCGGAUUCACUGGGUUUAAAGGGUGCGUAGGUGGGCAGGUAAGUCAGUGGUGAAAUCUCCGGGCUUAACCCGGAAACUGCCAUUGAUACUAUCUGUCUUGAAUACCGUGGAGGUGAGCGGAAUAUGUCAUGUAGCGGUGAAAUGCUUAGAUAUGACAUAGAACACCAAUUGCGAAGGCAGCUCACUACACAAAUAUUGACACUGAGGCACGAAGGCGUGGGGAUCAAGCAGG
rnacentral:rRNA from 1 species